UGCUCGGGAGAGGCCCAGCGAGGGUCGGGGAGCCGCUGCCUGUGCCUCAGCUUCCCGUUCUGUGAAAUGCAAACAACACUCGCCCUGACCUCCCGGAUGCGACAGCUCUGGAGGGCGCUGGGGAGGGUCCGCCUCAUUGUCGUCGUGGAGAAGGGAGCGCUGCGGGGCUGAAGCCAGAGGCUGCGGGACAAUCCUGGGCGCGGGAGAAUCUCCGAGACCCACAGCGGGAACGACCUAGGCGCGCGGGGCGGAGGUGGUGGCCGGGCCGGGCGGCGGAGGGGCUGGGGGCCGAGGUCCGGGCCGGGCCAUCCCGCAGAGGGCAGUGCAGGAUCGGCCCUGGCCACACGCGCCCUCCGGCUGCCAGAGCCGCUCCGCCGCGCCGCGCCCUCUCCCGAGGCCCCAGCGGUUCUCCAGCACCGGGGGCGGCGCGGAACUGCCCUUCUCGCCUUGGACUGUCACAGCAACCCCGGGACGCGGCCGAUCAGCCCCGCUUCAUAGAGAAGGAAACUGAGGCCCCGAGAAGUCAAGCACCUCGCCCCAAGCAGCACGGCUAGAAACGGAUUGCAGCUGGAAACGCUCUCGGUGCCAGCUCUCGGUGCCAGCUGAACCUCUUGGAGCAAGCCCCAUUCACGCAGGCCACUAUGAGUGAAGGCUCCACACGAGCAUCUCCUAGGUGUGAGAUCUCGGUAACUCCAGGCCUCACAUCCAGACACCCGCACCCUGGAGCCUGCAAGCCUCCUGAGGGUCUCUAACCUACUCCGCUGGAUAGUGCUGGCCCUCGACUUGCCCAGUAUGAGUCAUCGUGGCAACACCUCGGAAAAUACCCAAGUCACUCCAAUUACAGCAUUAUCAAUCGCUGCCAUCGCUCUGGAACUCAACCCAAUGAAACUGGCAAGAAUGCCAGCCGGGCCGGGCCGGGAGGAAUCCAGUUCUUGGCGAAGGCUGCUUGCCUGGCAGCGCGUCUGCGGCCAUGCCAAGCCACAAGCCCUGUGUGGUCGAAGCUGCAGAGGUGUCGGCUCCAUUUCACAGUCAUGGACACUGAGGCCCACCAAGGCUAAGGCCUCUCCUGCAGCCCAAACCCAUGACAGAGAACCCAGAGAGGGAAAGGCUGCCUGGCCAAAACCGCGCCUCAGAUGGCAGGGGGUGGUGGUGGGUGGUGGGCGGUGGAGAGGGCCUCAGUCGGGCCAUGCACCACACUAGCCCCUGGCAUGGUGGCCUUUCAUGGAGUGUCUAUCCUAUGUUGGCUGGGCCAUGGACUGUGCAUGCAUUAUCCCAUCAACCUCAACAAAGUAGGGGCCAUGAUCCCUGUCUUACAGACGAUGAAACAAAGGCUUAAAGCAUUUGUCACUUGCCCAGGGUCACUCAGUUAGUAAAUGACAGCUCUGGGUUAAAACCCAGCCCCGUCUGACUCGGGGUCCAUGCUGCUUCCACAGGGACUCGUCUUCUGUCUCCUGCCUGAAGGUGAAUGUGCUGACCGAGGGCACCGUCUCAGUGCCUGUGUGCACGGGUGCACACGCCACGCCCAUCAGCAAAGAUCCCACUGGCCCCCUGCCUCUGACAUCCUGUGGGCGGACAGCCUGGCCCAGCAGAGUGGGGAGGCCAACUACAGCUGGCCACCCACGAUCCAGUGGCGCUCCAUGCUCCUAAUCAGUAAGAUAUGUUUCUGGAAUAAAAACCGCAUCAGCAUUUUUAUUUUCAAGUUCA